UAUAAAAAUAUUAAAAAAAAGUCAUUGUUUUGAUAUAAGCUGAACAGAGGCUUUCUAUCUAAAUCCAGCCCACUAUUACCAAAACAAACAUCUAAACUGUCACUUACAUAAUGUCAGGGUUGGCAAAGAAAUGCCCACAGGCCAAAAUGGGUCUAUGGCUAGUUUUUAUUCAGCUGAUAGGUUAAAUAUGGGCUCUACAAGAGAAUAUUCUAUAUCAUAUGAGAUGAUGAGAAAUUAAAAUUUCAGUGUUCAUAUUUAUUCAAAGACAAACCCCUUCAUUUACAUAUGCACAGAGUACCCGCAAAUGGCAGAGUUGACUACAGUAGAAACUAUGCUGCCUAUAAAACCUGAACUAUUUACUCUCUGGCUUUUUCAGGAGAGUGUUUGCCAACCCCUACCAAAGCUCGGGUGGCAUUUGUAGGUCUCCCGGCUUUGCUAAGUGUGACUGAAAACUCAGCAUGAGCGUUAUACACCAGCUCUUCCAUGUUGCCAUGGUUGCUUCUGGAAAUGUUACAGCCAAUACUUGGUGAAGAUGGAGUGAUGAGAAGAGCACCACCAACCUUUAAAAAGCCUAUAAAUCAAAGAGAAAACAACACCCCGAGCAACAUUCUUCAUUCAAUGACAGAAGGUAAGAAGCUUUUACUACACAAAAACACAAUUCGCUCAUUAAAUAAAAGUACAUACUGAUAAGAAAAAGACCUUAAGAGAAACAAAAGACAUAAACAAGCAACUUGUAAAAGAAACAUAACUAGAUAACAAACACGAAAAAAUAAAGUUGAAUGAAGUUGUUAUGCAAGUACCAAAUGUUUGUUAAUUAUGAAUAGUUUACAACAGAAAAUUUUUUGCUAGUAUCUUGUAUGAUUUCAGCUCAACAAGAUUAAAAGUUUUUGUAUUAUUUAUUCAUGUGCUUGUGCAAUAAAAAGAUUUUAUUUUG